GAUGAAGAACGUAGCAAAAUGCGAUAAGUAAUGUGAAUUGCAGAAUUCAGUGAAUCAUCGAAUCUUUGAACGCACAUUGUGCCCGCCAGUAUUCUGGCGGGCAUGCCUGUUCGAGCGUCAUUUCAACCCUCAAGCACAGCUUGGUGUUGGGACUCGCGUUAAUUCGCGUUCCCCAAAUUGAUUGGCGGUCACGUCGAGCUUCCAUAGCGUAGUAGUAAAACCCUCGUUACUGGUAAUCGUCGCGGCCACGCCGUUAAACCCCAACUUCUGAAUGUUGACCUCGGAUCAGGUAGGAAUACCCGCUGAACUUAAGCAUAUCAAUAAGCGGAGGA
rnacentral:misc_RNA from 1 species